rnacentral:lncRNA from 1 species
CUAUCUGCCUUUGCGCUAUUUAAAGUUUACAAAAUAAAACCUCCAUUUGAUUGUUUUCUCUCGCAAACAGAAAACUCGAGAUUAAUCAAUUCCCUUUGUAGUACUUCGUUUCACUUUCCCUUUUAACUAUCACACUGCUAAGUAAAAACCACGCAUUCACUCCGGGAAAAGAACAAUAAAAGAAUAAUUUUAUGCUAUUCUAAAAAUACUUGCUAAAUUAAAUAGUAUGUUUCAAUUGAGACAUGAAUCUUUGCAGACAUACAUAUUGAACCAAAUUGUCACCACAAACAACAGACUCAGUAGAUAUUAUGGCCAUGAAAUGAGAGCUUCAACAAAAUAGGCAAAUUUUAGCUAUCCUCAAGCCAAAAUAGUGCAUUUCAACCUAAAGUGAUCAAUUAAUUAACAACAAAAUCACUACACCAAAUAAGGAAUUUGAUCCUUCUUUUUAGUAUAAGCUCAUUACACCACGUAAAGUCAUAAGAACCUCCGAAUCUUGACAAGAACAUCUAUUAAUCAAAAUAUGAACUUAGCAAAAGAUUAAUUCAAAACACAGUAGCAUAUGUAAUUGAUGAAACAGACAGCAAUAAGUCACUCGUACUUGCAUAUUAAUUCAACAGUUUAACACACAAUGAAUCAAAAGAUUUAAACAAAGUAAUCGCCACUUUAGCUCAAAUGAGCCUAUUGCAUAUAACCAGAUGAAUCCUUACUAACAAACAUAGGGCAACAGCUAACCAACAACCUAUCAAAAACCAAGCAGAACACAUAUAAGAACGUGAACUACUAGUAAUCAAGGCUACUGCAAGCCAACAGUGCAUAAAUUUACACUCAAAGUAGUGCAAAUAGACUGCCUGUGCAGUGCAAACAGGGCAGAUUUUUCAUGCUGAAACAAGCAAGAACAACUAUUGAUCUUCCAACAUAAUGACCCUCAAAGAGCAAAUAGGAUCAAGGAUAACCUCAACAACUUCAAACCAACAGAACAUACAGACUUGGUCACGGAAUCAGGGAAGAAGGAACAUAAGGGAAAAAGAAAAAGAGAAUUAAAAUAAACAAAUCAAAAGAACCAUGAGAUGAACCUGAAUUGAUAAACACUUGCGAUUAACUUUAUUUUACUCGAACCUUGAAUACAAGUAGAAUCCAAUAACUAACAUCAACAACCAGCAACAGAAAUGAGUAGGAAUCAAAAGCUCGGACAGCGGCAAACUCAGCAACUUUCAAUCGAACUUCAUUUUUUAAAUGAACUCCAACCCAGAAAGACGAUAGGAAGUAUAUGUUUUCGAUUUUCCCUUUUUUGAACAAUAAUCUAGAACGAAAACAAAUUUGAAGAACAAUGGACAUUUUUAUAUCUUCUCUUGUUUUGGAAAACUGAACUCCAACAGUUGACUCGAUAUCAACUCAAUCCCUCUCCGCUUUUAAAAAGAAUCAGAGAAAGACCAUGAAACUUUUUUUAGUUUUUUUAAAGAAAAAAGAAACAGAACUCAUAAUCAAACAACCAAAACAAAAGAAGCUGAUUUUUUUUUAGCUUUUUUCCCAGAAUCCAAACUAAAAUGCCAUUAAAACUCAAUGAAAACUAAAUGAAUGCUCAAAAUUUCCCUUUCCGAAAAAAUCCCCCAACUCUGAACAUUUUCUACUCCUUUUAGGAAUCGGAUAAAGCCCUUUUUGAAAAUGAGCACAUGAUGAAUGUGAGGUUCGGAUUGAAGGAGAUCGAUCCGAGGCCUAUCACUCAUCCAACACCCAUCUUCUAGAGCCUUCCAAUCGUGAUACACAUCUAAAUAGUGAGAUGGGAGGGGAUUCGCGUCAGAAAUCCAUUAGAACGGUGAGAGAAGGGAUGGCGGAACGCGUAGGUUGGGGAUUUGAGGUUCAAACGCUCGAAUUUGGAAAGUAUUAGGGUUGGACUCGGGUGUUCUUUGGGAGAAGAAGGAGAACAGUCUCAGACGCGUUUGAGGGAUUAGGGAUUGGGCUGCGUAUGUGUUUUGUUUAAUUGGGGAACAUGUCGGGUUUGGGCCUGGGAUUGGGGCGGACGCGAGAAACUGUUUGGGAUGGGAAUUUAAUUAAAGGAAUUUUUACCUAUUUAUACCAUAUAACAAACC